AGGCAUACCCAUAGACCUUGCCUACUACUUACGCCUAGGCAGGGGGCACAGUGUGUGCCAGAGUGAUUUGGAGUUCUCGACGUCUGUAGGCAGCUUUAAUCAGUGGCUGGGUGAAUUGCAGUACUCUUAACAUUC